AUUAUUAUUUAAAAAAAAAAAAAACCAAAAGCCCUUUCACUCUUCCUCACGCCGCCUAAAAACCCCACCCUCGCGUGCCGGUAGCCGCCAACCGGCCAACUAUCGAUCUGCUCUCCAGUUGCGCCGCUCGCUAUUCAAGAGGUUUUGGCCGACCAGAUCCCACCGUCAGACCACGCCGCUCGUCAUCGCAUCGCCCCUUUCAACCGAUCGCUCCAUCGAACCGAGUCGAUCGUCCAAAUCCCCUCCAGUCGCGAGUCCGCCGCCCCAGCCACGAAGUUGCCUCGCGCUACCACCUCUCCCUACGUCGUCCGCUCGAGCCACGCCACGCCUGCCGCUCCUCGUUCAGAUCUGCUCCACACUGUUUUGGUUCGCCCUUUCAAUCAUUGUUCGUCGGCGUAGCAGCUGUUAGCUGUCUGAUUCAUCCUCCUCCACCGCCAUUUCGUGGAGUUUUUGCCAGAAACUUGGAAUCUGGGGGUGUCAGGAACCACUGUCCAGUAAGAUUAGAGUUUGGCUUUAAGGAAUUUUGGAGUGUGAUUGAUUGGUAUCUCCGUGCUAAGCUUGGAACAAAUUCCUGGAUCAUCACAUAUUUUGGAGUGUGAUUCAAGAAUUUUACUAAGUUAAAGGAGAGUGUGGAUUACUUUUCGUUAGAUUUGUCAUCAAGGUAAGAGUAGGAAUGCGCUGGCGAAUGACAAGCGGAAUUUGUGAGCGAGCCACUAGGACCAGUUUUAUGCUUCCGCUUAUGAGAUUUAAACUUCUUUUCAUGUUUUCUUAGCUUUCAAUGUCAGUUCCAUGCAGUCAAAUUUUUAUGUUUAGAUAAAAUUGGAAUAAUUGAAAAACAAAAACACAAAAUGGAAAAAUGGGUUUUUCCAUUAUCCAUCACCUAAGUAGUUCACAUAUGAAGCAUUAACAUUGCCUUA